ensembl:lncRNA
CUUGAAACUUCUUUUUUUAUUUUUAAAGAUUUUUAUAAUGUACUGAUGUGGUUCAGAGCUAUAACGCACUUUAGUACAUAGUUGCUCCUUUUAGUACAAACAAAUCAUUUGGAAUAUAUAAAGAUUGUAGUCUUGCCCAGUAUCACUGACAUGGAAGACAGAGAGAAGACAGUGAUGUACAAUUUGUAGUUUUUAGUGAUAGUAUUUAAAUAGAUCCUUCUUUGUGGGGUUGAGCCCUAAACUUGGGUUUAGGGUAGGUACUCAUUGUAAAGAAUAUAGGUUUCUUCUUUUAUCUGUAUUCUUUAGAUCCUCAACUCUAUCUGUCAAGCUUUUUUGCUCAGUAAGAAUCUUGAAUAGAAGAUACGAAUCUCUAAGAGGAGCAGGCUCCGUGCUGGAGCAGACCAGGAGCACGAGUGUGCAGCUUCAGGAGCACCUUCUGCAGGGCCCGGGACCCAAGCGCGGUGAGGGGAUUAAGUCAGGCGGAGACCUUUACAGGGAAACAAAAGUAGUUGAAUAAGAAUUGACAGACGUAACUAAUACAGUUUUAAUGGAUUGGAAUUUAAGUUUUGAGGUUUUAGAAUGAAUACCUUGAAAAUUUUCAGCACUUUUCCUUGUUUACAAAAAUAUAUUUUUAACUUUAAAAACAUCUAUGACUAUUGCCUUAGAAAGUAUUAGGAGGCACAAUCUACAACAUAUGAGAAGUGGAAUAUUGCACAUGCUGGACUAUAAAAGAUAAAGCUCUUAUUUCAGAAUAAAUGUAAUUGGCUUUCAUUUGAGUCUUACCUUACUCCCAUUAGAAGAUACACAAAAAGAGUAAAAAUAUAUCUUUAGAGUAUCUCUCUACUAUGUUCUGACAUUGUCAGAUCUGAGCUGUACUGUUCUGAAAUAGUGCUGUCAGAAGAUUGUGGAAUCACUAAAAUCAAACCUGAAUAGAUCGGCAGUAUGAUGCAGACUCCUGGGUUAAUGGCAGGGUUCACACCAGUGGUUUCAUCUGGGGUCUGAAAACCUUUAUAUAAACUCAGCUGGAGACAACCAGAUAUACAAAUACUCAGUCUUAUUUUAGUUUGUGGUUUUGGAGUCAGGGUUCUCACUAUGUGUUUCAGGCUGGCCUGGAACUUAAAUGCUCCUGCCUCUGCCGCCCAGGUGCUGGGAAAGCAGGCAUGUCCCACCACACCCAGCUUUGCCCAG